AAAGGGCCCUGAGGGGAUUUGUGGCCUCAAAACACCAUGCCUUCUUCUUUCAGGUUUCCUUGGACUGUGUUCACAUCUCUUCUCACCCAGCACAUGAAUACUCCAACUCGUAAAAUUUCAGAACGUCCAGUUUAUGAGUCAGACAUUUUAUUCCAUCAGUAAUCAUUGAGCUCCUAACCUGGAAGUCCUGGGAUCUCUGCUAGGGGCUCCCUAUCCAGUGGAGGGGAAGCAGGUACACACCUGCAAGAAGCCCUGCGCUGGGCACUCUCCUUAGAGAGGAGCAUUGGACAGAGAAGACCCUUGGGCAGCUCAUAAUCCAGCCAGGUCUCGCAGACUGGUAGGAGCACAAGCACCAGAGUGGGGAGAGUGUGCAAGGCCAAAGGCUCCAGAGAGAGAGAAUGGUUUGCAGCACCCCCAGACUCUCCAAUGUUGGGCUGGACUGGAGGAUGAACAGAGAAAACAUGUCACCAUGCACUGGGUAGAGAGAGGUCAGCACCCAGAGGCGUUCACUGGACUGGUGAGACGGGACGUAUGUCGCUGGGUAAGUGCAGUUUGUCCUGUGAGCUUUGGAGGAAAAGUCACCGCGUGCAGCCAUAGAUCCCAGCCAAGUUGUGUGUUUGGGGAUGGGAUGGAAAAUGGGAAGUGGUAUUUCCAGUAGGGCCUCAAAACAGAGCGGGCACUAACCAGGAGCAAGAGUUCUGGAAGGUGGGAAAGCCACGGUGAUGGGUGCUCAGUUAGGUCCCAUCCUAAGGCAGCAGAUGGGCACCAAAAGGGUUUGAGGCAGAAGGUGACAGCAUUAAGCGAUCUGUCUUUUCUCCCGGGAUCCAGCAUGGCCCUCUCACCUACCCACGGAACCAGCUCAAGAUCACAAGUGUGUAAAGAACAAACUGAGAAGAUGUUGUGGUCUCCCCACAUUGCACCAAAGCCUGCAAAACAAGAAAAAAACAUUUUUAAAAAUGAUUCCAUGAGGGCUGCCCUCAGAGGAAGAGACCGCGAGAACCACUGAGAGGUGAAGCCAACAAGGAUGCCAAGGAAACAGCUGGACUGUGUGGGGGAACCAGGCCCAGGGUGCAGCUGGGACCAGUAGGGCCAGCCACCAAGGGGAGGCCAAGGGAGCCCCAGACCUGGGCCACAGCACCCCAUUGCCCCUUUGGCCCCGGGAGAAAACUUACAGCUGGCACAGGGGUCUCUGUUUCCCAGACUCCAGCAGCUAGCAGUGGCCACCGUGGGAAGAGCUGUCUGUCUGGAGCAGUGAUGUGACAUGUGUCCCUGGGCCAGGCACACAAGAGAGCCGCUCCAGGCUGACAGCUCCCUGCAGCCAGUGCCUUAGCCCUGGCUCACUUUAUUGUCACGGCAGCAGGGCCUCCUGCGCUGGUCAAUAAGGGCACAGAAGGAGCCAGGCCAGCAUCACCCACCUCCACGAGGUACCCGUAGCAGCAAGAUUGGC
rnacentral:lncRNA from 12 species